CCCUUUUUGACAAUCAUCAAAAAGAUAGUGAAACGUAAAGCACAAAGAUAAGAAUACUCAAAUAUUUCUUUUUCUUAUUGUUCUGAUUUGCAUGUCAAAUUAUUGCAAGAAUAUGAAUCAUAUAACUCAAGGCAAUAAUAUUAGAAUUAGAUUAAUGAGCAUAGAUCAGAGCCAAUUAAGAUAAUUUCAGAGCAGAACACAUCGAAUGUGAUUUCAAGAAGUUUUCUAAUUUGAUACCACAGAUAGUUUUCUAAUCAAGUGUAGGUGGAAUCUUUCUUAAGUUAAUUCAAGAAGUACCACGAAUGAUAUUCAAAGAAAGCAUGAGUGGAAAUCUAACCUCUCUUCAAUAAUAAGUAUGAAAGUUUGUUCAUUUAAGAUCUUUUUGCCCAAUCUAUUAAGUAUUUUAUCAACAUGAGAGCAAUUUAAUUAAUUUUCAGAGUAUAAGAUCAAAACUUAUAUACUUGAAAAACAUAUCAUCAUGUUGGAUCAUUAAUUUUUAAUGACUUCAAAGUUCUUUUAUGAUAAUAAGAGCAUUAGGGCACAAAUACCAAAAUAUGGAUUCAUACAAUUUUGAUAUAUCUUAGAGGAUACAUAAAGUUCAAAGCUUUGAAGGUUCUUUUAAAGCUCUUUUACAAACUUUCUUUUAUUCUUUUAGAAAAUAAGCACAAUUUGAUUCAUAUAUAGAGAUAUGAAUUGGCACAAGAUUGAAGUUCUAAAGAGCAA
rnacentral:lncRNA from 1 species